rfam:Cavia porcellus supercont2_29 genomic scaffold, whole genome shotgun sequence.
GCCCAGCUAGCUCAGUUGAUAGAGCAUGAGACUCUUAAUCUCAGGGUUGUGGGUUCAUGCCCCACAUUGGGCA